rnacentral:rRNA from 1 species
AUUGAACGCUGGCGGCAUGCCUUACACAUGCAAGUCGAACGGCAGCACGGGUGCUUGCACCUGGUGGCGAGUGGCGAACGGGUGAGUAAUACAUCGGAACGUACCUUAUCGUGGGGGAUAACGCAGCGAAAGCUGUGCUAAUACCGCAUACGCCCUGAGGGGGAAAGCGGGGGAUCGCAAGACCUCGCGCGAUUAGAGCGGCCGAUGCCUGAUUAGCUUGUUGGUGGGGUAAAAGCCCACCAAGGCGACGAUCAGUAGCUGGUCUGAGAGGACGAGCAGCCACACUGGGACUGAGACACGGCCCAGACUCCUGCGGGAGGCAGUAGUGGGGAAUUGUGGACAAUGGGGGCAACCCUGAUCCAGCAAUGCCGCGUGAGUGAAGAAGGCCUUCGGGUUGUAAAGCUCUUUUGUCAGGGAAGAAACACCGGCUCUAACACAGUGCGGGAAUGACGGUACCUGAAGAAUAAGCACCGGCUAACUACGUGCCAGCCGCCGCAGUAA